rnacentral:rRNA from 1 species
AGAUGGCGACCGGCGCACGGGUGAGUAACACGUAUCCAACCUGCCGAUAACUCGGGGAUAGCCUUUCGAAAGAAAGAUUAAUACCCGAUGGUAUAAUCAGACCGCAUGGUCUUGUUGUUAAAGAAUUUCGGUUAUCGAUGGGGAUGCGUUCCAUUAGGCAGUUGGUGAGGUAACGGCUCACCAAACCUUCGAUGGAUAGGGGUUCUGAGAGGAAGGUCCCCCACAUUGGAACUGAGACACGGUCCAA